AUAUUUUAAAUGCAUUCAGAUAAAAUCUCGUUGAGUGUAGAGACUUGAAAUUUUCACCGUAUGUAGAAGUGCUCAAAGGCAGCAAUACGCAAAAGACCACCGAUAGCGGACUAUUUUCGUGCCAUGUUUAUGGUUUAUUGGAGAAAUGGCAGAAAAGUGAUGUAUACCGCUUUGUGAAAUACUUGGUAUUGCGCAACUAUCUUUGUGAAUAUCUUAUGCAUGGCUCAAAGGGAAAUGUUUAUGGUGUUUUAAAACCUGGAUUGAAAUCACUUGACGCAAAGGUAUUAUUUUCUUGGCCUUCUGAAAUUUCUGCUGGUACGUCUAUGUCGUCUUCACUUUCAACACCUGAUCCUGAACCUAUGGACGUUAGUGGUGAGUGCUCUAUGACGAUGAUUUUGAAAGCACCAGUUUCAUUGUCAGCCGCGCAAAGAAACGAAAGA